UUGCAUUAGAUCAUCUACUGCAACGGUUGUUACUACUGCAAUAGACUUUUGACUCUAUUGGCACACUUCUUAAAUAAAAUCGUUGCAAUAGCAAAAUACCCGUUGCUGUAGAAUUAUCUGUUGCAAUUUCUGAAUCUGUUGCAAUAGAACCUAUGUGGCAAUAGUACUCUAAGAAAAUUAAAUUACCACAACACUUUUCACUGCCCCCUCCUAUAAUAUUCUCAAACCCUACAUAGUUCUAAAAUUUCUUAAGCCACUCUUCUUCAAAGACAUGAACCCAAAUCUCUAAGGCUCUGUCCCAAAGCUCUGGUGAACUCAGGCUCCGAUGUCUGAUGAAGGCCAUAUCUGGCACUGGAUAGGAUCAUGUUCCUCGUACUCACUGAUAAAGAGGUUCUCGAUGAAGAUUCCUACUUGGAUGGCCAUAAAUAUACAUUGUGGAAUCAGAAAGUGCCUCGACCACAGGUGAUCAACGAGCAAGGAAAAAUGGAGAUGCAAGUAUAAUUAUUUUGACAUUCUUAAUAGAAAAUAAAUUGUAAAGAUAAGUUAUGGAUAGAAGAACUAUAUAAAUAGAAGAACUAUGUAAGAGGAUUUGUAUAGACUAGUUGGAGGAGCUAGUUGUUGGUUGCUUUAAUUGUAAUUCUGCUUUAACUGUUG